rnacentral:rRNA from 1 species
CCCCCACUGGGAAUUGAGACACGGUCCCAGACUUCCUACGGGGAGGCCUGCAGUGGGGAAAUAUUGCCACAAUGGGCGCAAGCCUGAUGCAGCCAUGCCCGCGUGUAUGAAGAAGGCCUUUCCGGGUUGUAAAGUACUUUUCAGCGGGGAGGAAGGCGAUGUGGUUAAUAACCGCAUUGAUUGACGUUACCCGCAGAAGAAGCACCGGCUAACUCCGUGCCAGCAGCCGCGGUAAUACGGAGGGUGCAAGCGUUAAUCGGAAUUACUGGGCGUAAAGCGCACGCAGGCGGUCUGUUAAGUCAGAUGUGAAAUCCCCGGGCUUAACCUGGGAACUGCAUUUGAAACUGGCAGGCUUGAGUCUCGUAGAGGGGGGUAGAAUUCCAGGUGUAGCGGUGAAAUGCGUAGAGAUCUGGAGGAAUACCGGUGGCGAAGGCGGCCCCCUGGACGAAGACUGACGCUCAGGUGCGAAAGNGUUGUGGAGCAAACAGGAUUAGAUACCCUGGUNUUCCACGCCGUAAACGAUGUCGACUUGGAGGUUGUUCCCUUGAGGAGUGGCUUCCGGAGCUAACGCGUAAGUCG